UCCGUGUUGACCACGGCGGUCUCCUAUGAGUUCCCGACAUAACUCGCUGGCAACAUAGGACAAGGGUUGCGCUCGUUGCGGGACUUAACCCAACAUCUCACGACACGAGCUGACGACAGCCAUGCACCACCUAUCGCAGACCCCGAAGGACACCACAUCUCUGUGGCUUUUCCUGCGUAGUUCAAUCCAGGUAAGGUUUUUCGCGUUGCAUCGAAUUGAGCAACAUGCUCCGCUGCUUGUGCGGGUCCCCGUCAAUUCCUUUGAGUUUUAGCCUUGCGGCCGUACUCCCCAGGCGGGGUACUUAAUGCGUUAGCGCCGGCACGGAAGAAGUUGGUUAUCUCCCACACCUAGUACCCACCGUUUACGGCGUGGACUAC
rnacentral:misc_RNA from 1 species